rnacentral:lncRNA from 1 species
ACGGCGCUGCAGCGCGGAGGCCGCGGCGGCAGAGAGGUAAGAUGGCGGCGGCGCCUUCUGCUCACAAUGGGGCCCGGUGUGCCCCUCAGCCCGGCCCCCGAGUUCUUCUCCGGGGUUCCUCCGACCUGCACCGUCUCGGGGGCGUGUCUCCUCUCGCUCACCGCUCCGGUAGCGCUGCCUGGCCGCCUCUCAGGGAUGCCCCUCACGCCCGCCGCCCGCGGACAAAAUGGCGGCUCCUGGGCGGCAGGAGUGCGCAUGCGCGGGAGCGCGGCGGCGGAGCACGUGCGCGGGCGGGAGAGCGCCGGGACGGGCCGCGGGAGGGAGGCUGAGAUAGACCGGGAGGGGCACCGGGAGACAGGGGGGUGCACUGAGAGAAGCGAUCCCCCGCAGAUUUCUGCAGGGCGGAAAGUUCCCUCGAGCAUUAUUGGGAAUUACCUCCAUAGGAGCAGCCUCAUCUUCUGCUAAAAGGCGUCAGCAUGAACAGGAUCCGGAUUCACGUGUUGCCGACGAGCCGAGGCCGCCUGACCCCGGUGCCACGGCCGCAGGAGCCGCUGGCCUGCGCCUUCGCCCCGCGGCCCUGCUCCCAGCCCCGCCUGGAAGGGCAGGAAUUCUGCAUCAAGCACAUCCUUGAGGACAGGAAUGCUCCCUUCAAACAGUGCAGCUACGUGUCCACAAAGAACGGGAAGCGUUGUCCCAAUGCUGCUCCCAAACCCGAGAAGAAGGAUGGGUGAGUGGCUCUUCCUCCUGGUUUUCCAGUUCCAAACUCUAUGGAAGUAAAACAGGCGGGGGGGGGGGAUUAAAAUAGGCAGGGGGAGGUUUUUCUCUUUGUCUUCCCUUUUGAAAGAAUGGCUGGAGCUGUGUCAGGGGAGAUUUAUACUGGAUUUUGGGAAAAGGUUCUUCCCCAGUUGAGCACUUAGGCAGCUCCUCAGCGCAGUGGUCACAUUCACAGCCCUGCCAGAGCCCAAGGAGUGUUUGGAUAAUGCACCCAGGAGCAUGGUGGAG